rnacentral:misc_RNA from 1 species
GAACGCACAUUGCGCCCCUUGGUAUUCCAUGGGGCAUGCCUGUUCGAGCGUCAUUUGUACCCUCAAGCUUUGCUUGGUGUUGGGCGUCUUGUCUUUUAUUAGACUCGCCUUAAAGUCAUUGGCAGCCAGUGUUUUUGGUAGUAAGCGCAGCACAUUUUGCGUCUUAGUCCUUAAAUCGUGGCAUCCAUGAAGCCUCUUUUUCACUUUUGACCUCGGAUCAGGUAGGGAUACCCGCUGAACUUAAG